GGGGAUAUGGCUCAGUGGUAAAAAGCAUGUGCUUAGCGUGCGUGAGGUACUGGGGUCAAUCCCCAGUACCUCCA
rnacentral:tRNA from 1 species